rnacentral:tRNA from 1 species
GCGCCUGUAGCUCAGCUGGAUAGAGCGCUGCCCUCCGGAGGCAGAGGUCUCAGGUUCGAGUCCUGUCGGGCGCA